GCUUCCGGCUGUGUGGAAGUUGCUGCCAUCGCCAACCUAGGGUUUCCGACGACAAGAUUUGGGUGGAUUUCUAGCAGCUACUAAAUUUCAGCGGCUGCCCUACCUGGCUGAGGAUCGACGGGAGAAGUUUUGUGUGAAUUGUUAGCUGAUCAUAGAGGAAUUCUGUCAUUGUUGAUUUCUGCAGCAGCAACUCCUAGUUCCGGUCAUUAUCGCCCCAAGGAUUUUGACGCGAGACGAGCAUCUCGGUUAUCGGAUUGGACUUUCUAUUAUCGGAGGUUGAUGCUGUCAGGAG